rnacentral:rRNA from 1 species
GAUGAACGCUAGCGGCAGGCUUAAGACAUGCAAGUCGAGGGGUAGCAAGAUUGUAGCAAUACAAUUGUUGACGACCGGCAAACGGGUGCGGAACACGUACACAACCUUCCUACAAGUGGGGAAUAGCCCAGAGAAAUUUGGAUUAAUACCCCGUAACAUAGCGAUGUGGCAUCACAUUGCUAUUAUAGCUUCGGCGCUUGUUGAUGGGUGUGCGGCUGAUUAGAUAGUUGGCGGGGUAACGGCCCACCAAGUCUACGAUCAGUAGCUGAUGUGGGAGCAUGAUCAGCCACACGGGCACUGAGACACGGGCCCGACUCCUACGGGAGGCAGCAGUAAGGAAUAUUGGACAAUGGACGUAAGUCUGAUCCAGCCAUGCCGCGUGAAGGAUUAAGGUCCUCUGGAUUGUAAACUUCUUUUAUAAGGGACGAAAAAAGGUCUUUCUAGAUCGUCUGACGGUACCUUAUGAAUAAGCACCGGCUAACUCCGUGCCAGCCGCCGCCGUAACAC